rnacentral:rRNA from 1 species
UACAUGUGGGGCAAGCGUUGUUCGGAAUUACUGGUCCUAAAGGGUGCGUAGGCGGUUUGUUAAGUCACUGGUGAAAGUUUUCGGCCCAACCGGAAAAUUGCCUGUGAUACUGGCGAACUUGAGUGCGUGAGGGGUGGGGGGAACGAGCAGUGUAGCGGUGAAAUGCGUAGAUAUCGGAAGGAACAUCAGUGGCGAAAGCGACUUCCUGGACCAGUACCGACGGUCAGGCACGAAAGCGUGGGGAGCAAACAGG